rnacentral:lncRNA from 1 species
ACGAAGAGGCAGUCCUGUUCUUAGGCAUCCCAGCUGCCUGGUGCCCUGUAAAAAGUGCUAAGACCGUUCUCGACCCUUUCAUUUCCAUUGCACUCACUCAAAAGUACCUGGAAACUUUUCUCCAGCUUGGAAUUACAAUGAUUUUAGAAAGCAAAUGUAUUUGCUGUAUGCACGGAGUCGAAUCAUUCCCCAUCCCUUUCUCCACAAUCAAAACUAACACUUUCCCAUUACAACUAUCUUUAAAGUGAGGCAGAGAGAACGGAAUCUGAAUUGCAGAGUAAGAUGCUGAGCAAAGAUCUGACAAAACCCACUUCAGCCUUUAAAUAAUCUGAAGCCCUCCCUUUCUCACUGGUUGUAAAACGUGAUAGGGACUUGGAUUGCGUUGACGAUUCAUACGUCUGUAAUUUCUUUUAAAUGCCCACGUCAGGGUAUUUUUUGUUUGUUUCCAGUCUCACUCAGAGUUUUCCAGAUCAAGUUUCAGUCGUGAACCACCACUCCCCAUAGCACCCCCCCCCCGACUUCUUCCUCCACUCCUCUUUCCAACUUGGCUGCCCAGCAGUUGGGAAAGCCUUCUCUCCACUUGCCGAGAAAGUGGUGGCAUCCCAGGGCUUCCCGCUCCCUGAAGCCGCACGGGAUCCCGCCAGACACCUUCACAGAGCACGCGGCGCUUCCGCCACCAAACUGGGUAUCACCCCGAGGAGGGCAGCGCGGCCGACUCCCCGCCCCCACCGCGCGCGCAGCCUCGGGGCUGGCUCACUGGAGCAGCCCGGGAGCCCCGAGCUCCCCGAAGCGGGGCGCUGUGCCCCGCUCCCCAGAUUCCCCGUUUCCUGCCUUUUUCUGUCAAAUGGGAUUUGCUGGACUGAACCACGUUCGCCGCCCGGCUCCCCCUCCUCCCUCCUCCUGGCCGCGUCGGGUCCGGGAAAGCACCGAGGCUCCCAUGCUGUGACCAAUCAGCUUUCGGCUCUGAUGAGGGGUCUUCCCGCUGCUGAUUGCAAACACUAAUGAACUUACAGCGCCAUUUGAAAUUCACACGCACCAACAAAGUCUGGGGGGUGGGCAUUUCAGGUCAGCCGAGUCACCCGAGGAGGUGGGAGUGCUAGACACUGCCGGGAAGAUGGAUUCCGGGGCCGAAGGGUGUAAUUAAGGAUUGCCACCCCCGGCGGGCGGCCCGUCCUUCAGCGAGCCUCUGAAAAUGACCUGUGCCUUCCCUUCCCGAGUGUCUUCUCUUCCGAAACUGAAAAGCGCCAGUGACCUUCGGACGGGAGAGGGCUGCACUAAACACGCAGACUUCCUUCCGAGCCGCAGCCCUGCACUGUAGAACAAGUGUCCGCGCCCGGGUGCAAGUGCCCGGGCCUCCGAGGAACGUGACCUGGCCAGGGCGCACACUGGGGUCCUCUGAAGCUCCGGUCCCCAUCCGUAUUCAAACGCAUUUACACAUUCUCUCUCUCCCCGCUCUCCCCCUCCUCUUUCGCCUCCCCUGCCCUCCUCCUUCUUUUCUUCCUCCUGGCGGAUUAGCAGCCCAACACUGCCCCUGUCUCAAGUUUGUUAUGGGAAGGGAAAAAAGUUUACUGCUUUUCGCGACACACUGGCACUUGCUACUCACUCAAGUUCCCACCGAAACUCCAGCUCCCGGAGCCCAUUCCUCUUCCCAGGCCCCUGAGAUGCAGACACCACCCUCAACCCUCCCUCCUCGCAGGGCUUCCUAAAUCUGCUUCGAGUUGUCCUUCUUCCCAGUUUUGGAAUCUGACACCCAUAACCUUCCCGGCUGUCAGGCUCGUCCACUCCCUGCCAGCUUGUGGCGCCUUUACAGUGCAGCGGCAGGCGUGGAGCCCGCUCCUGCGGUGGAUGGAGCGCGAGGUUCCCCGCCGGGCGUCCCAGCAUUUCCCGGCCCUGCCCAAGGCCCUGCUGCCAGCCGGCCAGUGGCUCAGAGUCAGUGCCUCGGUCUGCCCCGACCGCUGCCAACCUGUCACGACAGCUUGGCAGAGGAAAUGAUACUGGAGGAGCCCGGUCACCGCACCCUCCCCUGGCAACUCCAGAGCUGGGGCUACGGACCUUACCUAACUUGGCGGGUAGGAAAGAGAUUUGUAUUUUCACUUGCAGCUGCGUAUAGGGCAAGAUCGAAUCUAGCGCUCGCAAAAGCAAAGGGCAACGCUUCCUAGGAAAGCCUGAGUCUUUAUGAUCGAGUUUCUCCAAAGUUUGGGGUGGAUCUCAUUUGUGAACUCAAAUUAGCCGUUCUGGACCCACAGUCUAAGCUCCCGAAGUUGCUAAGUGACCCAGCGCACCACAAUGUGUCAAGAAGUCUCACAACUAAGCGAACCCCACCUGGUUCCUGGGGCACUAGUGACGCACCACAGACGCACCUUUCCGGGAACAAUCAAGAGUUGCCCUGGGGUGCUUCGUACUCUUUCCCGCCGUAGUGAAUUUCAUACUUGUAAAAAAAAAAAGAGGGUGGGGUGGGGUGGGGUCAGAGGAAUGUAUUUCUCAUUCUAUCCGUUCUCAUCUUGAGAAGUUGGUCAACUGUGCAAAUAUGCGCCAGAUAUUAAAUGAUGAUCAUGCAAACUGCUCAAAACUUGCACUCCUGAUAUAAUCCUAAGGAAACUGAGUGUUUCAUAAAUCAACUUUGUGGCCCAGAUCCCACAAAAACAUUUUAAGUGUUUAAAAACUUUUACAACUGUCCAAGUGAGACUCCCCCUUGCUCUUCUGUACCUUGCUCUCUAGGAAUACACAAUGAAGACAAAAGACACUGCCCCAUUCCUACAGAAGCCAGAGCGGAGAGCUGCGUCAGGGACAUAGGGAGGGGGUUAAUCUCUUUUUUUUUUUUUUUUUUUUUUUUGUAGAACCCUCAUUAUAGCUAACGCUAGUAAUAAACGAAGGAGACAAUAGAACUCAUGAAACUUAGAAAAGGUAAUAAAUCUUGGCGCCUGUUCCUAGUCUACUUCCCGGUUACAUGAUUUUCAAAGUUUUUAAGUUUGUGGUGGUGAACAUUCACCAAAGUGGACCCAAUAUAUAUAUAUAUAUAUUUAAAAAAAUAAAACCCUAGAACUCAUGACUUGCCCUGUGCAUUCAGUGCCCUAGGUGGCGAUGGACAAAGCGCACAGCUGUUCCCGCCAACGUCCUCCCGUGUCCCGAGGGGCAGCCUGUAGUAAUUCAGGCAGUGUGUGUAUGUGUUAAAUUUGGGGAGGGGGAAAUGAGAGAGAAAGAUCCGUCAUUUGAGGACUUUAGGAAAAGCUGACACGCAUUGCCAAAGAGUACUACUCUCUGCCUCCUCCAAACGCAUCCCUGGAAAGCAGAAAGGCAGCUCCCUACGUGACCAUGAGCCACUUUGCCUCCCCGAACUGUUGUCCUGGGAGGACGAGGAGGGCGGGUAGCUCACAUCUUACCCUUCGCAGCGAUAAAAACUAGAGUAGGAGAAGAAAUGCAAGACAGUGCAGUCUGCUGUGCAGACCUCUGGCUGCUGCACACAGCAAACUCUUCUGGCUGGUGACUUUGCGGUGUUAACGCAGCCGGCCGUGCGCGGGGAUAAUGGGGCCGCCGAGCUGGCGGCAUCGCUGUCCCUUGGGCCCCUCUUGUCACACAGACAUGCCGCUCUCCGCAAAGAGAAUGUGGCAGAGCUUCCAGCACAGCCCGCGUCCGUAUGCCUAGAAAUGUAUGCCUGCGGCCUUAGUGAGCCUCGGGGAAGGCAAAGGCUAAACCUCCGGAUGUGCUUUGAGGUUAGGAAGGCUGCCCCUGUGUCUUCAGAACUGGGAAAGGGCCAGGCUCAUGCCCGGAUGCGGUUGCAGGGCCAGACCUCAGUCAGGAGUCGCCCCCCCACUUAAAGGUGAUUCUUCCCCAUUACAGUCAGCAUCACGUGAGCCUCCUCCGGAGACUUGAUUCGGA